AGAACAACAGGGAUUGCCCUAGUAACGGCGAGUGAAGCGGCAACAGCUCAAAUUUGAAAUCUGGCGUAAGCCCGAGUUGUAAUUUGUAGAGGAUGCUUCUGGGUAGCGGCCGGUCUAAGUUCCUUGGAACAGGACGUCAUAGAGGGUGAGAAUCCCGUAUGUGACUGGCUUGCACCCUCCACGUAGCUCCUUCGACGAGUCGAGUUGUUUGGGAAUGCAGCUCUAAAUGGGAGGUAAAUUUCUUCUAAAGCUAAAUACCGGCCAGAGACCGAUAGCGCACAAGUAGAGUGAUCGAAAGAUGAAAAGCACUUUGGAAAGAGAGUUAAAAAGCACGUGAAAUUGUUGAAAGGGAAGCGCCCGCAACCAGACUUUGCGGCGGUGUUCGGCUGGUCUUCUGACCGGUUUACUCGCCGCCGUGAGGCCAUCAUCGUCUGGGACCGCUGGAUAAGACCUGAGGAAUGUAGCUCCCUUCGGGGUGUGUUAUAGCCUCUGGUGAUGCAGCGCGUCUCGGGCGAGGUCCGCGCUUCGGCAAGGAUGAUGGCGUAAUGGUUGUCGGCGGCCCGUCUUGAAACACGGACCAAGGAGUCUAACAUCUAUGCGAGUGUUCGGGUGUCAAACCCCUACGCGUAAUGAAAGUGAACGGAGGUGGGAACUUUUUGUGCACCAUCGACCGAUCCUGAUGUCCUCGGAUGGAUUUGAGUAAGAGCAUAGCUGUUGGGACCCGAAAGAUGGUGAACUAUGCCUGAAUAGGGUGAAGCCAGAGGAAACUCUGGUGGAGGCUCGCAGCGGUUCUGACGUGCAAAUCGAUCGUCAAAUUUGGGUAUAGGGGCGAAAGACUAAUCGAACCAUCUAGUAGCUGGUUCCUGCG
rnacentral:rRNA from 1 species